rnacentral:misc_RNA from 1 species
GAUGAAGAACGUAGCGAAAUGCGAUACUUGGUGUGAAUUGCAGAAUCCCGUGAACCAUCGAGUCUUUGAACGCAAGUUGCGCCCGAAGCCAUCAGGUUGAGGGCACGUCUGCCUGGGCGUCACAUAUCGUUGCCCAAUGCCUAUUGCAGUGCAAUAGGAAUUUCUGGGCGAAUGAUGGCUUCCCGUGAGCGUUGUUGCCUCGCGGUUGGUUGAAAAUCGAGUCCUUGGUAGGGUGUGCCAUGGUAGAUGGUGGUCGAGUUAGAACGAUACCGAUCAUGUGCAUGCUCCCCAAAAUAUGGCCUCUAUGACCCACACGCGUCUUUUGACGCUCAUGACGAGACCUCAGGUCAGGCGGGGCUACCCGCUGAAUUUAAGCAUAUCAAUAAGCGGAGGA